rnacentral:tRNA from 1 species
UCCCUCAUAGCUUGUUUGGUAAAGAAUCUGCCUGCAAUUCAGGAGACCCCGGUUUGAUUCCUGGUUUGGGAA